UGCUUUACACAUGCAAGUCGGACGGCAGCACGGACUUCGGUCUGGUGGCGAGUGGCGAACGGGUGAGUAAUGUAUCGGAACGUGCCUAGUAGCGGGGGAUAACUACGCGAAAGCGUGGCUAAUACCGCAUACGCCCUGAGGGGGAAAGGGGGGGAUCGCAAGACCUCCCACUAUUAGAGCGGCCGAUAUCGGAUUAGCUAGUUGGUGAGGUAACGGCUCACCAAGGCUGUGAUCCGUAGCUGGUUUGAGAGGACGACCAGCCACACUGGGACUGAGACACGGCCCAGACUCCUACGGGAGGCAGCAGUGGGGAAUUUUGGACAAUGGGGGCAACCCUGAUCCAGCCAUCCCGCGUGUGCGAUGAAGGCCUUCGGGUUGUAAAGCAC
rnacentral:rRNA from 1 species